rnacentral:rRNA from 1 species
AAACGUAGGGGGCCAGCGUUGUCCGGAAUUACUGGGCGUAAAGCGCGCCCAGGCGGUCUAGUAAGCAGUGGGUGAAAUUCCAGGGCUUAACCCUGGGGCUGCUCGCUGAACUGCUAGACUAGAGUACGGGAGAGGGCAGUGGAAUUCCUGGUGUAGCGGUGGAAUGCGUAAAUAUCAGGAAGAACACCCGUGGCGAAGGCUGCUGCCUGGAACGUUACUGACGCUGAGGCGCGAAAGCUAGGGGAGCGAACGGGAUUAGAAACCCCGGUAGUCC